AUUGAACGCUGGCGGCAUGCCUAACACAUGCAAGUCGAACGAGUGGCGGAUGGGUGAGUAAUGUCUGGGAACCUGCCUGAUGGAGGGGGAUAACUACGAGAACCUGUAGCUAAUACCGCUUACCAUCGGAUCUGCCCAGAUGGGAUUAGCUAUUAGGUGGGGUAAAGGCUCACCUAGGCGACGAUCCCUAGCUGGUCUGCGAGGAUGAUUGCUUAGACUGGAACUGAGAGACGGCCCAGACUCCUACGGGAGGCAGCAGUGGGGAAUAUUGGACAAUGGGCGCAAGCCUGUUCCAGCCAUGCCGCGUGUUUGAAGAAGGUCUUCGGAUUGUAAAGAACUUUAAGUGGGGAGGCGUUACCAGCAGAAGAAGCACCGGCUAACUGCGUGCCAGCCGCCGCGGUAAUAC
rnacentral:rRNA from 1 species